ACACGAGGAAGGAGGUGGUCUGAAGUUGAAUGACAAACGGACACGUGAGGUGGCUGCAGGCUAGCCGCUACCGCCGGCGGAAUUCACUGACCGCGCGAGCGGCUAGCGAAUCCCAGGCAGCUACCCGGCCCUCGAGCCCCCGGUCUUUGUCCAGAUCGGGACCGGUGCUACAGCACCGGACGGCUCGGGGGCCGUUCUGC
rnacentral:sRNA from 1 species